AUGAAGACACACAGGAGCCUCCAAAUAGGGUCCCAGAAGCACCAGAAAGAGAGUUUGGAACUAGCUGAGGAAAUUCACCUGCAUCUUGCCAGGUUGCUGACUGCACCUCAUGCUGCUGCAAACCGUGAUGUGAAUCUCCCGGGCGUUUCUGGGCACUGUCUCCCUGAUUCAGUUUAUGGGAUUCGAAGCUCAUUGAGUGGUGAGCGCCGCCCUGCUCUCCUGCUGAAAACAUGCUGUGAUGGAAGAGUUCCCACUUUUCUGAGAUGACCAUACACCAGAGACACAACCUGGAGGCGAGUCCUCAGGUGCCUGGAUUUGGAGUUUCCUGACCCAGCCUGGGUCAGAGGGGUUGGUGCAUCAGAGAUGGGCUCCCUCUGCCGGCAGCUAAGGGUGGCGCUCAGGGCAGGUAAGGGGGACAGGAGGAAGUUGCAGGUAAAGUUUAGUUGCAAGUGGCUUCUAGAAUUCCCACCGGAGCCCCUCCCGAGUGGACUAACUGCUUAGUGCAUAGUAAGAAAUAGACAUAUUUGGUCUUUGCCCCUGGUUCCUGACACAGAGCUCCCACAUCCGUUGGAAUUUCCUGGGUGAAAGGAGCAUCUUUUGUUCCAACGAGGCGACUCAUGGUGGGCCCCUAGACAGCUUCAGGAUGGGGCAGAGACCAAACUUGAUCAGAAGCCUGGAACUUUCAGCCCCAUCCCCCAACCUCUGGGGAGGGGAGUGGGGCUGGAGACUGAGUUACUAAUCCAUCAUGUCUAUGUGAUGAAGCCUCCAUAAAAACCCUAAUAGCACGGGGUUCCAGAAGCUUCUAGGUUGGUGAACACACACAUCCACAUGCUGGGAGGGUGGCACACCCCUACCGCACAGGACAGAAGCUCCUGCACUUGGGACCCCCCAGACCUCAGCUAUGUAUCUCUUCAUCCGGCUGUUCAUCUGUAUCCUUUACGACAAACUGAUAAAUGUAAAUUCAAGUGUGUUCCUGAGUUCUGUGAGGUGUUCCAGCAAAUUAUCACGGGAUCUCUGACUUAUAGCCUACUGGUCAGAAAUGCAGGCAGCCUAGGACUUGUGAAAUGGCCUCUGAAAUGAGCACAGUGCUGGGAGAAUGAGCCCGUAACCUAUGGUGUCUGGCCUAACUCUGGGUGGUGUCAGAACUGAAUUGAAUUGUUGACACCCAGUUGUGUCAGGAGAAUCAGAGAAUUGGUGGUCGGCACGGGAAAACACCCCACCAUUGAAACCUUCAAAGUGACCAGGAGCCUCCCAGGAAGCAAGGGAG
rnacentral:lncRNA from 1 species